rnacentral:rRNA from 1 species
ACGAACGCUGGCGGCGUGCCUAACACAUGGCAAGUCGAGCGGAGAAUCGUUGAUGAUUUAUCGGAUGCGAUUCUUAGCGGCGGACGGGUGAGUAACGCGUGAGGAACCUGCCUUACAGAGGGGGAUAACACAUCGAAAGAUGUGCUAAUACCGCAUGAUAACAGAGAGUCACAUGGCUUUCUGUUCAAAGGAGUAAUCCGCUGUAAGAUGGUCUCGCGUCUGAUUAGCUAGUUGGUGGUGUAACGGACCACCCAAGGCGACGAUCAGUAGCCGAACUGAGAGGUUGAUCGGCCACAUUGGGACUGAGACACGGCCCAGACUCCUACGGGAGGCAGCAGUGGGGAAUAUUGCGCAAUGGGGGGAAACCCUGACGCACGCAACGCCGCGUGGAGGAAGAAGGUUUUCGGAUCGUAAAACUCUUGUCUUUGGGGACGAAUAAAUGACGGUACCCAAGGAGGAAGCCACGGCUAACUACGUGCCAGCCAGCCGCGGUAAUACGUAGGUGGCGAGCGCUGUCCGGAUUUACUGGGUGUAAAGGGCGUGUAGGCGGGAAGGUAAGGUCAGAUGUGAAAUACCGGGGCUCAACUCCGGGGCUGCAUUUGAAACUAUCUUUCUUGAGUGCAGGAGAGGAAAGUGGAAUUCCUAGGUAGCGGUUGAAAUGCGUAGAUAUUAGGAGGAACACCAGUGGCGAAGGCGGCUUUCUGGACUGUAACUGACGCUGAGGCGCGAAAAGCGUGGGGAGUGAACAGGAUUAGAUACCCUGGUAUCCACGCCGUAAACGAUGGAUACCAGGUGUUGGGGGUAUCGACCCCUCCAGUGCCGCAGUUAACACAAUAAGUAUCCCACCUGGGGAGUACGGCCGCAAGGUUGGAACUCAAAGGAAUGACGGGGGCCCCCGCACAAGCAGUGGAGUAUGUGGUUUAAUUCGAAGCAACGCGAAGAACCUUACCAGGGCUUGACAUCCUCAGAAUACUAUAGAGAUAUGGGAGUGCCUUCGGGAAACUGAGUGACAGGUGGUGCAUGGUUGUCGUCAGCUCGUGUCGUGAGAUGUUGGGUUAGUCCCGCAACGAGCGCAACCCUUGUUGUUAGUUGCUAACAUUUAGUUGAGCACUCUAGCAAGACUGCCGGUGAUAAAUCGGAGGAAGGUGGGGACGACGUCAAAUCAUCAUGCCCCUUAUGUCCUGGGCUACACACGUACUACAAUGGCCGUUAACAGAGGGAAGCAAGACAGUGAUGUGGAGCAAUCCCUAAAAACGGUCCCAGUUCAGAUUGUAGGCCUUGAAACUCGCCUACAUGAAGUCGGAAUUGCUAGUAAUCGCGGAUCAGCAUGCCGCGGUGAAUACGUUCCCGGGCCUUGUACACACCGCCCGUCACACCAUGAAGAGUCGGUAACACCCGAAGCCUGUGAGCUAACCGAAAGGAAGCAGCAGUCGAAGGUGGGGCUGAUGAUCGGGGUG